CAUAGUGAGUUCCAAGCCAGCUGUGGCUACAGGGAGACCCUGUCUCAAAAAGACCAAAAUAAUAAUAAUAAUAUAAUAAAAUAAAUCUUUUAAAAAAUUAAAGAUACUGUCCUCUAGUGGUUGGCAUUAUAUCCCAUGCCUCCCCACACCAUACCACCAGAGAUGAAAAACUAGAAGUGAAGCUUACAGACUUUGAAGUAAGUAGUAUUCUGUUAGAAAUAGGCAUUGGAUCAAGAUUUGGAAGACAGGCAGGAGGCAGAGGCUCAUCUAUGGCUGUGUAGACAGGAGGCAUCUCUCCAGUUCCUUAAAUUACAUUUUUCAGAAAUUUUCUGGCCACUAGGCUUUUUAAGAUGAUGUGAGUAUCAUUUUGUUGAGUUUCUAAAAGAGGUGAUUUGAUAUUUUCUUUAAAUUUAUAGGUUAAUUCAGAGGGAAAAAAUGAUAGAAUCUUGAAAUGAUAUCCUGGAACAUGGAAUGUCUGUGUCUAAUCUUUAUAACCUUCAAAAUUUUUUCUUUAGAAUAUUUUGAUUUUUUUUUUUUUAAUGUGUAUGAGUGUUUUGCCUGCAUGCAUGUAAGUACACCCAUGGAAGCCACAAGAGGGUGUCAGAGCCCUUGGAACUGGCAUUAUAAACAGUUGUUAGUCCCUAUGUGGGUGCUGAGAACCAAACGCAGGUCCUCUGCAAGAGCAAUCGUUGCUGUUAACUCCUGGGCCAUCUCUACAUCCCCCAGAAUAUUUUAUGUAGGUACUACAUAUUGUCAAAAUAUCUUAUUAACUAUUUGAUUGUGGAUUGGAUCUUUUCUAUUUUUUAAUAGAUUUUAAUGUAAACCUUGUUUUUAUUUUUUGAGACGGAGUCUUACUAUGUACCACUGGGUGGUCUGGAACUUGCUAUGUAGCCCAAGCUGGCCUCAACUGCUUCUGCCUCCCAGAGAUCCACCUGUCUGUGCUGGGUUUAAAGGCAUGCAGCAUCACACCCAGCUUUGGGAGGCAUCAUUUUUAAAUGCUUAAGUUAACCCAUUUAGUUCUAUAGUAUCUUUAUCAUCUCCAGUUUGAAGUUCAGGAAGCUGAGACACAAAGAGGUUUGUGUAACUUGAUAUGGCUGUGCAUACUGAGAGGAAAUGUUUAGCAUCCAUCCAUAGCUCUCUGCAUCCUGUAUCAGUUGUGAGAAUAGUACCUCUCUAGGGGAAGGAUUGAUUUUUAGGUGUCUGCGUUCUAUAUGAGGUUUUUGAAUGCCCCUGUCAUACUAAUUUCAGAUCUUUUUUUUUUUUUUGAGUCAAGGUUUCUUGUAUCCCAGGCUGACAACAACUCCCUCUAUGGAAAUAUCCUUGAACUUCUUCUGGUCCUCCCACCUUCACCUCCCUACUGCUGGAGUUACAGGCAUGCUCCACCACUCCUGGUUGUAUGUGGUACUGUGAAUCAAACCCAUGGCUUUGUGAAUGCUAGGCAGGUACUCUACCAACUGAGCUAUGGUGCAGCCUCUCAGUGGAGGAAGCACCCAGAGGCCCCCCACACUGUGGAGACUGACAAGCGGAUCAUAGCACUGCUGCCCUCAGGCCAUGCAGACCCCCUUGCCUCACAGCAUUAGAGACACAGUCUUAUGUAACAAGCUGUUUUUUCUGGUUUGCUAGUGGAACUGAAUUAGAUGAAAGGUCUAUAAGAACAUGCCUGAAAGAGGAGACAGCCCAGGUCACAGAAUGAAUAAGCAUCCUUGUAAAUCAGCCUGGCACUUUUCCAGAACUCUUUUAUAAGGGCAUUACCCCAUUCUUUAUUUCUUGGAUUAACUGUGCUGCAGUAAUUGCUCAUAAUGAUCCGCAGUCAUCAAGGAAAUUUAGAAUUGCAUUUAGAAUAUGGUUUAAUAAGACCAAGAUGGGACAUGUUUUAAAUUUUAAAAAUGAUUCCUUUUUCAGGAACUAGAAUUCCAUGGACUUGUUUCAAGGUUUCAUGAACGUUUAAAAAUUGUGUGCAGAAUUGUGUAAAUGCAUAUAUCCCUUUUCUGUGGGAAGGCAGAGCAUGACAGAAGAGAGAUUCUAUAACUCAUUGAGUUCUCAAAGAGAGAUGAACCCAAAACGGACUAAAAACUGAUGAGUUAUGUACAUUUCUUUUGAAUUUUUAAACAUUUACUUUUAUGUGUAUGAGUGCUUUGCCGGCAUGAAUGUAAACGUACUGUGUGCCUGCAGUGCCCGUGCAGGCCAGAAGAAGGUGUUGAAUCCCCUGGAUAUGGAUUUAUAGAUGGUUAUUAGCCACCUUGUGGUUGCUGGGAACGAAACCCAAGUCCUCUGGAAGAGCAACCAGUGCUCUUAACCACUGAGCCAUCUCUCCAGCCCCUGUGUAAGAACAUUUUAACCAAGCCAGGGAAAUGUGCAAUUUUAAAUUCCAUUUAUGUGUUAUUUGUUGUGUGUGUAACAGAUGGGGAUAAGGAGUAUGAAGGAGAUCAGAGAACAACUUGUGGGAGUCAGCUUUCUCCUUCUAUCAUGUAGGGUCCAGGGAUCAAACUUAGGUUGUCAGGCUUAGCAGCAAAUGCCUUUACUCAGUGAGUCAUCUUGCCAGCCCAUAAGUUUUUUAUUUUAAACUUGAAGAUGAGAUAGUUUACUUGGUAUGCAAAAUGGUUUAUCAGGUUAUCAAAAUUUAGUUAUGUCAUGAGAGAGGACAACCUAGGUUACAGAAUUAGCAAGUAUCUUUACAUCAGAGCCUAGCGUAUUUCCAGAACUGUUUUGCCUGCAUGUAUAUAAGUGUAUCCUUGUCAUGCACUGCCUGCAGAGGUCAGGCAAGGGCAUCAGGUCCUCUAGAACUAGAUUACAGACAGUUGUUAGCUGCCAUGUGGGUGCUGGGAACUGAACCCAGUUUCUCUGCAAAAGCAGCCAGUGCUCUUAACUGAGGAGCCCCUGUUUAUUUAUUUAUUUAUUUAUUUAUUUACAUUUCCAGAACUUUUAAAGGGUGUUACCCCUGUUAUAGUUGCAAUAUGAAAUGUCCCCAAAGUUGUUCCCCAGCUGGGGGGUCCCAUUUUGGGAAGCUGUAGAAUCUGUAAGAGGUGAGGCCAGCCUUGAAGAAGUUGGUCACUAGGAGUGGGCCUUUGAAGGUAAUCUUUGGCCCCAGUGCCUGUGGUGCACUCUGCUUCCUGGUCCACCAUGACAUGAGCAGCCACAGCCACACUCCUCGCAUCAUGAGCUGACCUACCAUACCCUCCCAGCUGUGAUGGACUAAAAGCCUCUGAAACCCUGAACCAAAGUAAAUCUUCCUUCACUUAAGCUGCUUCUGUCAAGUGUUGUGUUCACAGCUAUGGAAAAGUAGAUAAUAGAAGCUUCCUAGAACUAUCAAAACACUUUUCAACAAAUUGGAUGAUCUGAUUGGCUCUUGGUGCAUCAUGAAUUGGGUAGCAUUAAAAGCAUAGAAAACCUUAGUGGAACAAGUGAGCUUUUACAGGCAGAAAGCAAGGAACAAAAAGCAGUUGGUGUUUUCAAGGUGACUUUUCUUGCUGAGGGUAAGGCCAAGGGUACAUUUCACACUAGCACAUGUUGACUGGACCUCUUCUCACUGGUUACUGUGAAUCUCCUGGGGUUUUCUGUUUUGUUCUUAAAAAAAAAAAAAAAAAAAAAAAAAA